GACGAACGCUGGCGGCGUGCCUAAUACAUGCAAGUUGAGCGCUGAAGGUUGGUACUUGUACCAACUGGAUGAGCAGCGAACGGGUGAGUAACGCGUGGGGAAUCUGCCUUUGAGCGGGGGACAACAUUUGGAAACGAAUGCUAAUACCGCAUAAAAACUUUAAACACAAGUUUUAAGUUUGAAAGAUGCAAUUGCAUCACUCAAAGAUGAUCCCUCGUUGUAUUAGCUAGUUGGUGAGGUAAAGGCUCACCAAGGCGAGGAUACAUAGCCGACCUGAGAGGGUGAUUGGCCACAUUGGGACUGAGACACGGCCCAAACUGCUAGGGGAGGCAGCAGUAGGGAAUCGUCGGCCAUGGACGAAAGUCUGACCGAGCAACGCCGCGUGAGUGAAGAAGGUUGUCGGAUCGUAAAACUCUGUUGGUAGAGAAGAACGUUGGUGAGAGUGGAAAGCUCAUCAAGUGACGGUAACUACCCAGAAAGGGACGGCUAACUACGUG
rnacentral:rRNA from 1 species